rfam:Agrilus planipennis Contig55817, whole genome shotgun sequence.
AUCUAACUGAGACACUACUCAAAAGCAUCUCCUCUAUUCGGCUGAAUAGGACCUUAAUUAGUCCUAGAACGGCCUGAAAUAGAGGGGUUUUAGUCGGUAGAUCCGAGGGCUUCUUCCUCGGGAAUCCGACACUACCCAGUCGUACGGACGGCUGGGUGUCUUUUGAAGAUUUCCUCUCUUC